rnacentral:rRNA from 1 species
GACGAACGCUGGCGGCGUGCCUAAUACAUGCAAGUUGAGCGCUGAAGGUUGGUACUUGUACCGACUGGAUGAGCAGCGAACGGGUGAGUAACGCGUGGGGAAUCUGCCUUUGAGCGGGGGACAACAUUUGGAAACGAAUGCUAAUACCGCAUAAAAACUUUAAACACAAGUUUUAAGUUUGAAAGAUGCAAUUGCAUCACUCAAAGAUGAUCCCGCGUUGUAUUAGCUAGUUGGUGAGGUAAAGGCUCACCAAGGCGAUGAUACAUAGCCGACCUGAGAGGGUGAUCGGCCACAUUGGGACUGAGACACGGCCCAAACUCCUACGGGAGGCAGCAGUAGGGAAUCUUCGGCAAUGGACGAAAGUCUGACCGAGCAACGCCGCGUGAGUGAAGAAGGUUUUCGGAUCGUAAAACUCUGUUGGUAGAGAAGAACGUUGGUGAGAGUGGAAAGCUCAUCAAGUGACGGUAACUACCCAGAAAGGGACGGCUAACUACGUGCCAGCAGCCGCGGUAAUACGUAGGUCCCGAGCGUUGUCCGGAUUUAUUGGGCGUAAAGCGAGCGCAGGUGGUUUAUUAAGUCUGGUGUAAAAGGCAGUGGCUCAACCAUUGUAUGCAUUGGAAACUGGUAGACUUGAGUGCAGGAGAGGAGAGUGGAAUUCCAUGUGUAGCGGUGAAAUGCGUAGAUAUAUGGAGGAACACCGGUGGCGAAAGCGGCUCUCUGGCCUGUAACUGACACUGAGGCUCGAAAGCGUGGGGAGCAAACAGGAUUAGAUACCCUGGUAGUCC